rnacentral:rRNA from 1 species
UGAACGCUGGCGGCGUGCCUAAUACAUGCACGUCGAGCGAACAGACGAGGAGCUUGCUCCUCUGACGUUAGCGGCGGACGGGUGAGUAACACGUGGAUAACCUACCUAUAAGACUGGGAUAACUUCGGGAAACCGGAGCUAAUACCGGAUAAUAUAUUGAACCGCAUGGUUCAAUAGUGAAAGACGGUUUUGCUGUCACUUAUAGAUGGAUCCGCGCCGCAUUAGCUAGUUGGUAAGGUAACGGCUUACCAAGGCAACGAUGCGUAGCCGACCUGAGAGGGUGAUCGGCCACACUGGAACUGAGACACGGUCCAGACUCCUACGGGAGGCAGCAGUAGGGAAUCUUCCGCAAUGGGCGAAAGCCUGACGGAGCAACGCCGCGUGAGUGAUGAAGGUCCUCGGAUCGUAAAACUCUGUUAUUAGGGAAGAACAAAUGUGUAAGUAACUAUGCACGUCUUGACGGUACCUAAUCAGAAAGCCACGGCUAACUACGUG